rnacentral:rRNA from 1 species
GACAGAGGAGCCAAGCGUUGUCCGGAUUGACUGGGCGUAAAGCGCACGCAGGCGGUCGUGCACGUGGGGUGUGAAAACUGGCGGCUUAACUGCCAGAGGCCACCUCAUACGGCGCGACUCGAGCCCUGCAGAGGUCCAUGGAAUUGCCGGUGUAGUGGUGAAAUACGUAGAGAUCGGCAGGAACACCCAGGGGGAAACCAGUGGACUGGGCAGGAGCUGACGCUCAGGUGCGAAAGCGUGGGGAGCGAACCGG